UACGGAGGGUGCAAGCGUUAUCCGGAUUUACUGGGUUUAAAGGGUGUGUAGGCGGGCAGUUAAGUCAGUGGUGAAAUCUCCGGGCUCAACCCGGAAACUGCCAUUGAUACUAUCUGUCUUGAAUAUCGUUGAGGUGGGCAGAAUAUGUCAUGUAGCGGUGAAAUGCAUAGAUAUGACAUAGAAUACCGAUUGCGAAGGCAGCUUGCUAAACGAUGAUUGACGCUGAGGCACGAAAGCGUGGGGAUCAAACAGG
rnacentral:rRNA from 1 species